AUGGAAAACAGACAAGAGAUAAAUAUUAUAGAACAAUCUAAUGCUUUGACAAUUAUUAUUUUUUUCAUAUCUAAUAAUUAUUUAAGUGGUUUUUUUUAACACUUACAGUAACAGACUACACGAAUGAAUUUUAUUUUCACAGGACAUUCGGUCAGGUAAGCCUCCUAGCUUUACCAGACCGAAUGAAAUUUUACCAGACCAAUUUGUUUUUACAUCUAAUUGUAUAUUAUCCGAUAAAAAACAACAAACAU
rnacentral:lncRNA from 1 species